rnacentral:rRNA from 1 species
GGGGUAACGGCCUACCAAGUCUACGAUCUAUAGCUGGUUUUAGAGGAUGAUCAGCAACACUGGGACUGAGACACGGCCCAGGCUCCUACGGGAGGCAGCAGUGGGGAAUCUUAGACAAUGGGCGCAAGCCUGAUCUAGCCAUGCCGCGUGAGUGAUGAAGGCCUUAGGGUCGUAAAGCUCCUUCGCCUGUGAUGAUAAUGACAGUAGCAGGUAAAGAAACCCCGGCUAACUCCGUGCCAGCAGCCGCGGUAAUACGGAGGGGGUUAGCGUUGUUCGGAAUUACUGGGCGUAAAGCGCACGUAGGCGGAUUGGAAAGUUGGGGGUGAAAUCCCGGGGCUCAACCCCGGAACUGCCUCCAAAACUAUCAGUCUAGAGUUCGAGAGAGGUGAGUGGAAUUCCAAGUGUAGAGGUGAAAUUCGUAGAUAUUUGGAGGAACACCAGUGGCGAAGGCGGCUCACUGGCUCGAUACUGACGCUGAGGUGCGAAAGUGUGGGGAGCAAACAGGAUUAGAUACCCUGGUAGUCCACACCGUAAACGAUGAAUGCCAGUCGUCGGGCAGUAUACUGUUCGGUGACACACCUAACGGAUUAAGCAUUCCGCCUGGGGAGUACGGUCGCAAGAUUAAAACUCAAAGGAAUUGACGGGGGCCCGCACAAGCGGUGGAGCAUGUGGUUUAAUUCGACGCAACGCGCAGAACCUUACCAACCCUUGACAUACUUGUCGCG